GUGUUCACUUUGGCAGCACAUGUACUAAAAUUGGAACAAUACAGAGACUAGUAUGGCCCUUGUGCAAGGAUGACACACAAAUUUGUGAAGCAUUCCAUACUUUU
ensembl:snRNA U6 U6 spliceosomal RNA